UUAUUGUCAACAGUAUUAAAGAGUAACAGAAAUUGGUAAACGUGUUGCUCAAUAAAUCACUAAAGACUUACCAAGAACCCACCCGACCGACAGGAUUACUUUCCUGACUUAUUAAAGGGACAUAUUAGAGUAAACAAUUUCCCGGUGACAAAUGGCGCCCAACGUAUUUGAAUGAUGAUUUUGAGUUUCAGUGACCAGCAAAAUAUGAACUGUGACCAGUGAAACAAUGGAUUAUUGUCAAAAUGCUCAAUUUGGACGGCAGUGAAGUUUUAACCUAUAACAGCGACUGCAUAAACAGUGAAUUUUGAAGUUAUAUGCAGUACAGUAAAAUUGACAACUGGAUUAUAUUUACAAGAGUAAACUUUUUCUAAUGGAUUAUAGUACAUGAUUGUACAUACAGUGGGAUUUUAAAUUGUCAAAGUGCUUGACACAGUGAUUUUUCAAAAGUGAACAUCCAUCUGAUCAUGGAUAUACACGUAUAUGAAAAGUUUCCAACUUUUCAUUUCGUCAGCAGGAGAGGAGUCGUUUAAUUCGUCAGACGGAGAGAGGAGUCGUUUAACCAAUGAAGAAACCACGGUCGGUUGUUCCCAUUUAAAAGUGAUCCGAACAGUAACUUUACAUUGAGUCUGUCGGAAUUAAUAGUGGUUCAUCAAGAACAGUGAAUUGUGAUUAGAACUGUGUGUAUCUAGUGAUUUUAGAACCUUAAACAAGGAUCUAAAUAGACAUUACAGAAACAUUUGGAGACAUUUGGUUGUCUGAUAGUGGCACAGCAACUAACUGGUUCACAGUGUGAUUGUUGGUGUGAUGUAUAGAGAUUGCAGGUGCCAAUGAGUAGAGUGCAUUUAGACCCUCAGUUUGGAUGCGUGCUUAUUGUCAACAUUAUUAAAGAGUAACAGAAAUUGUUAACCAUGUUGCUCAAAAAAUCACUAAGGACUUACCAAGAACUCAUCCCAACCGAUAGGAUUACUUUCCUGACAAAUUAAAGGGGCAUAAUAGAGUAAAAUCUGUCACAGCUAAC